UGAUGAAACAUUUUCUGGGAAAACUCGUUUCUCUCGUGAGUAUUUUCCUAUAAAAGGCAUUGAUAAGUCGAUAUUUCUAAGACUGUCUGAAACAUUCGACAAAAUUAGCAAGGGAAGUUGACUGAAAGAGAUGAAGAUUCAAUUCCUGGUUGUGUUCUUGGUUGCCGUCCUAGUGGAAGAAGCUUAUGCCAUUGUCGUCUGUGGAAAUGGGUUCAUCUGUAAUGACUUUCAAACUUGUUGCAAGAAACCUAAUGGCUUAUUUGGCUGUUGCCCAUAUCCCAGUGGCGUCUGUUGCUGUAAUAGAUUGACAUGUUGCCCUAAUCUACACUCGUGCUCAGCAGAUUCUUCGAGAUGUAUCGGCUGUCCAUCCCUUAUUGGUUCAAUUAAGACUGGUGAAGUGGACGCAACAACUUUCGGUGAUGCUCGGAAAUCUUAAGUUGAGCAUGAGAAAACCUUUUUUUUUUUCAUAACCUUCACUGUUUUGGUAUUUUUAUUCUAAAAUUAUUGUCUCUGUUUAUCCGAUAUUCUUUCUACGCACUAAUAAUAGUUAUAGAAUAAAGU